UGUGGAAUAUUGCACAAUGGGGGAAACCCUGAUGCAGCAACGCCGCGUGAGUGAUGACGGCCUUCGGGUUGUAAAGCUCUGUCUUCAGGGACGAUAAUGACGGUACCUGAGGAGGAAGCCACGGCUAACUACGUGCCAGCAGCCGCGGUAAUACGUAGGUGGCAAGCGUUGUCCGGAUUUACUGGGCGUAAAGGGAGCGUAGGCGGACUUUUAAGUGAGAUGUGAAAUACCCGGGCUCAACCUGGGUGCUGCAUUUCAAACUGGAAGUCUAGAGUGCAGGAGAGGAGAGUGGAAUUCCUAGUGUAGCGGUGAAAUGCGUAGAGAUUAGGAAGAACACCAGUGGCGAAGGCGACUCUCUGGACUGUAACUGACGCUGAGGCUCGAAAGCGUGGGGAGCAAACA
rnacentral:rRNA from 1 species